rnacentral:rRNA from 1 species
UGCAUGUCUAGGUUCACGCCCUAGCAAGGCUAAACCGCGAAUGGCUCAUUAAAUCAGUUAUGGUUCCUUGGAUCGUACAAUCCUACUUGGAUAACCGUGGUAAUUCCAGAGCUAAUACAUGCAACUGAGCCCUCGUCCGUUUUACGGCGGGGGUGCUUUUAUUAGACCAAGACCAGACGGGGGGUCGCUCCCGAUCGAUCGUGGUGACUCUGGAUAACUACAGCGGAUCGCACGGCCUUUGCGCCGGCGACGGAUCCAUCAAGUGUCUGCCUUAUCAACUGUCGAUGGUAGGAUAUCCGCCUACCAUGGUUGUUACGGGUAACGGGGAAUCAGGGUUCGAUUCCGGAGAGGGAGCCUGAGAAACGGCUACCACAUCCAAGGAAGGCAGCAGGCGCGCAAAUUACCCACUCUCGGCACGGGGAGGUAGUGACGAAAAAUAACAAUACGGGACUCUAACGAGGCUCCGUAAUUGGAAUGAGCACAUUCUAAACCUUUUAACGAGGAUCUAUUGGAGAGCAAGUCUGGUGCCAGCAGUCGCGGUAACCCCAGCUCCAAUGGCGUAUAUUAAAGCUGUUGCGGUUAAAAAGCUCGUAGUUGGAUCUCAGUCGCCGCUUCCGUCGACGCGUCGAAAGGCGUUUAUCGUCGGGGCCGACAACCGCUGGUGGGCUCGGUUGGCCUUCAAAAGCUGAUCUUGCACUCCGGCAAUGUUACUGUGAAAAAAUUAGGGUGCUCAAAGCGGGCUCGCGCCUGCAUAUACGUGCAUGGAAUAAUGGAAUAGGAUCUCGGUUCUAUUUUGUUGGUUUCUGGACCCGAGAUAAUGAUUGAGAGGGACAGACGGGGGCAUUCGUAUUGCGGCGCUAGAGGUGAAAUUCUUGGACCGCUGCAAGACGAACUACUGCGAAAGCAUUUGCCAAGAAUGUUUUCAUUAAUCAAGAACGAAAGUUAGAGGUUCGAAGGCGAUCAGAUACCGCCCUAGUUCUAACCAUAAACGAUGUCAACUAGCAAUCCGCCCGAGUUCCCUAAACGACUCGGCGGGCGGCUUCCGGGAAACCAAAGUUUCUGGGUUCCGGGGGAAGUAUGGUUGCAAAGCUGAAACUUAAAGGAAUUGACGGAAGGGCACCACCAGGAGUGGAGCCUGCGGCUUAAUUUGACUCAACACGGGGAAACUUACCCGGCCCGGACACCGGAAGGAUUGACAGAUUGAUAGCUCUUUCUUGAUUCGGUGGAUGGUGGUGCAUGGCCGUUCUUAGUUGGUGGAGCGAUUUGUCUGGUUAAUUCCGAUAACGAACGAGACUCUAGCCUGCUAAAUAGACCCACGGUCCUUGGUUACCGUGAGCGGGUCUUCUUAGAGGGACAGGCGGCUCUCAGCCGUACGAGACAGAGCAAUAACAGGUCUGUGAUGCCCUUAGAUGUCCGGGGCCGCACGCGCGCUACACUGAAGGACUCAGCGCGUGCUUAUCCUGGUCCGAAAGGUCCGGGUAACCGCCUGAAACUCCUUCGUGCUGGGGAUAGGGGAUUGGAAUUGUUCCCCUCGAACGAGGAAUUCCCAGUAAGCGCGGGUCAUCACCCCGCGUUGAUUACGUCCCUGCCCUUUGUGCACACCGCCCGUCGCUACUACUGAUUGAAUGAUUUAGUGAGGUCUUCGGACUGGCUCGGUUUGCGGCCUCGGCCGUGCCGGAUCGGGAAGACGACCGAACUUGGUCAUUUAGAAGAAGUAAAAGUCGUAACAAGGUUUCC